rnacentral:rRNA from 1 species
GGAAUUUUGCGCAAUGGGCGAAAGCCUGACGCAGCGACGCCGCGUGGGGGAAGAAGGCCUUCGGGUUGUAAACUCCUUUCGUGAGGAAAAAAGCCCCGAGCAAUCGGGGUGAUGGUACCUCAGGAAGAAGCCACGGCUAACUCUGUGCCAGCAGCCGCGGUAAGACAGAGGUGGCAAGCGUUGUUCGGAUUCAUUGGGUGUAAAGGGCAGGUAGGUGGUCAUGUAAGUCCGGUGUGAAAUCCCAGGGCUCAACCCUGGAACUGCAUUGGAAACUGCAUGACUUGAGUACCGGAGAGGUGAGGGGAAUUCUCGGUGUAAGGGUGAAAUCUGUAGAUAUCGAGAGGAACACCAGUGGCGAAGGCGCCUCACUGGCCGGUUACUGACACUGAGCUGCGAAAGCAAGGGGAGCAAACAGGAUUAGAUACCCUGGUAGUCCUUGCCGUAAACGAUGUGGAUUAGGUGUCAGGGGUGUCGAUCCCUCUGGUGCCGACGCUAACGCAUUAAAUCCACCACCUGGGGAGUACGGUCGCAAGACUGAAACUCAAAGAAAUUGACGGGGACCCGCACAAGCGGUGGAGCAUGUGGUUUAAUUCGAGGCUACGCGAAGAACCUUACCCAGGCUUGACAUGUAGUUGAAUAACUGUGAAAGCUGUUAGUCCCGCAAGGGACAAUUACACAGGUGCUGCAUGGCUGUCGUCAGCUCGUGCUGUGAAGUGUUGGGUUAAGUCCCGCAACGAGCGCAACCUUUAUCUUUAGUUGCCAUCAGGUAAUGCUGGGCACUCUAGAGAGACUGCCGGUGAUUAACUGGAGGAAGGAGGAGAUGACGUCAAGUCAGUAUGGCCCUUAUGCCUGGGGCUACACACGUGCUACAAUGGCCGUUACAAUGGGCUGCUAACCCGCGAGGGGGAGCUAAUCCACAAAAAACGGCCCCAGUUCGGAUUGGAGGCUGCAACUCGCCUCCAUGAAGUCGGAAUCGCUAGUAAUGGUAGAUCAGCUACGCUACCGUGAAUACGUUCCCGGGUCUUGUACACACCGCCCGUCAAGCCACCUGAGUCGAGAGCACCCGAAGUCGUCUAUCUAACCCGCAAGGGGGGAAGACGCCUAAGGUGAGAUCGGUAAGGAGGGCUAAGUCGUAACAAGGUAACCGUACCGGAAGGUGCGGUUG